rnacentral:rRNA from 1 species
GAUGAACGCUGGCGGCGUGCCUAAUACAUGCAAGUCGAGCGAACGGACGAGAAGCUUGCUUCUCUGAUGUUAGCGGCGGACGGGUGAGUAACACGUGGAUAACCUACCUAUAAGACUGGGAUAACUUCGGGAAACCGUAGCUAAUACCGGAUAAUAUUUUGAACCGCAUGGGUCAAAAGUGAAAGACGGUCUUGCUGUCACUUAUAGAUGGAUCCGCGCUGCAUUAGUUAGUUGGUAAGGUAACGGCUUACCAAGGCAACGAUGCAUAGCCGACCUGAGAGGGUGAUCGGCCACACUGGAACUGAGAAACGGUGCAGACUCCGGCGGGAGGAAGCGGUAGGGAAUCUUACGGAAUGGGCGAGAGCCUGACAGAGCACCGCCGGCUGAAUGAUGAAGCUCUUAGGAUCGGUAAACGAUGUUGUUAGGGAAGAAGAUAUGUGUAAGUAACUGUGAACAUAUUGACGGUACCUAAUGAGAAAGCCCCGGCUAACUCCGUG